rnacentral:rRNA from 1 species
GUAUAUGAGGUGAUUAAUUGGAGGGCAAAUCAAGUGCCAGCAGCCGCGGUAAUACUUGUUCCAAGAGUGUGUAUGAUGAUUGAUGCAGUUAAAAAGUCCGUAGUUUAUUUUUUUAAGAAGCAAUAAGAGGUGUACUGUAUAGUUGGGAGAAAGAUGAAAUGUGACGACCCUGACUGGACGAACAGAAGCGAAAGCUGUACACUUGUAUGUAUUUUUUGAACAAGGACGUAAGCUGGAGGAGCGAAGAUGAUUAGAUACCAUUGUAGUUCCAGCAGUAAACUAUGCCGACGAUGUGACAUGAAAAUGUUAAUUUGUAUUACAUAAUAGAAAUUUGAGUUUUUUGGCUCUGGGGAUAGUAUGAUCGCAAGAUUGAAAAUUAAAGAAAUUGACGGAAGAAUACCACAAGGAGUGGAUUGUGCGGCUUAAUUUGACUCAACGCGAGGUAACUUACCAAUAUUUUAUUAUUUUGAGAGAACGGUUUUUGUUUGAGAAUGAUAAUAGUGGUGCAUGGCCGUUUUCAAUGGAUGCUGUGAAGUUUUGAUUAAUUUCAACAAGACGUGAGACCCUUAUUUUUUAUUAAAGACAGACACAAUCAGUGUAGGAAGGAAAGGAUUAAAACAGGUCCGUUAUGCCCUCUGACAUUUUGGGCUGCACGCGCAAUACAAUAGAUAUA